rnacentral:rRNA from 1 species
UACGGGGGGGGGCAAGCGUUGUUCGGAAUUACUGGGCGUAAAGGGCUCGUAGGCGGCCAACUAAGUCGGAUGUGAAAUCCCCAGGCUCAACCUGGGAACUGCAUCCGAUACUGGAUGGCUUGAAUCCGGGAGAGGGAUGCAGAAUUCCAGGUGUAGCGGUGAAAUGCGUAGAUAUCUGGAGGAAUACCGGUGGCGAAGGCGGCAUCCUGGACCGGCAUUGACGCUGAGGUGCGAAAGCGUGGGGAGCAAACAGG